GUAGGGAAUAUUGGGCAAUGGAUGCAAGUCUGACCCAGCCAUCCUGCGUGCCGGAAGAAGGCCCUCAGGGUUGUAAACGGCUUUUGACGGUGAAGAAUCGACAGGAUGCGUCCUGUUUUGACGGUAGCCGUUGAAUAAGCACCGGCUAACUCCGUGCCAGCAGCCGCGGUAAUACGGAGGGUGCGAGCGUUGUCCGGAUUUAUUGGGUUUAAAGGGUGCGUAGGCUGGAAGGUCAGUCAGCGGUGAAAAGCUGUCGCUUAACGAUAGUCUUGCCGCAGAUACUUCCUUUCUUGGAUGAGGAGGAGGCCACUGGAACGGAUGGUGUAGCGGUGAAAUGCAUAGAUAUCAUCCAGAACACCGAUUGCGAAGGCAGGUGGCUGUACCUUAAUCGACGCUGAUGCACGAAAGCAUGGGGAGCAAACAGGAUUAGAAACCCGUGUAGUCC
rnacentral:rRNA from 1 species